rnacentral:rRNA from 1 species
GCGUGAGUGAUGAAGGCCUUAGGGUUGUAAAGCUCUUUUACCCGGGAUGAUAAUGACAGUACCGGGAGAAUAAGCCCCGGCUAACUCCGUGCCAGCAGCCGCGGUAAUACGGAGGGGGCUAGCGUUAUUCGGAAUUACUGGGCGUAAAGCGCGCGUAGGCGGUUUUUCAAGUCAGAGGUGAAAGCCCGGAGCUCAACUCCGGAAUUGCCUUUGAAACUGGAUCACUAGAAUCAUGGAGAGGUCAGUGGAAUUCCGAGUGUAGAGGUGAAAUUCGU